ensembl:lncRNA
GUAACUUAUGAUGCAGUCUCCUGGUGCAGUGUGGGGCUGAGCUUACUUCAGCAUGCAUAUUGAGUGUAGGAUAAAGGACUGAGACCUCCCAUUCCUUGCUGUAAUGCUUCUUACAGGAGCCUCAGCAGAAUGUGGGAAAGUGUUUGCUCUGUUGUUCUGUGAGAGCAACGAAAGGCUUAGGGAAACUGCUGAGCACCUGGGAUGUGAGGUUUGAAGGAAGAGGAGGCACCUUGGAACUUCUCCCUUGGGUCCAUCGUGGGAUCGCUGGGCUGACAUUGACGGGAUGAGCUUCAACAUGACCAAGCGCCGGGUCCUGCAGUUAGGCCGAGCAGCUGGAAGGCUGUGUGGGAGAAAUGGACCUGGAGGUGCCGGUCAGAGCUCAGCUGAACAUCAGUCAGCAGUGUGUCCAGGUGGCCAAGAAGGCCAAUGGCAUCCUGGCUUGUAUCAGAAAUGGUGCAGCCAGCAGGAGCAGGGAAGUAAUCAUCCCGUUGUGCUCAGGACUGCUGAGGUGGCACCUUGAGUGCUGUGUUCAGUUUUGGGUCCCUCACUACAAGAAAGACAUCGACGCGCUGGAGUGUGUCCAGAGAAGGGCAGUGGAACUGUGAACGGUGUGGAGCACAGAUCUUAUGGGAACUGAAGGAACUGGGAUUGUUCUGUGUGGAGGAGGCUCAGGGGAGACCUUACUGAUCACUACAGCUGCCUGACAGGAGGUUGUGGAGGGUGCAGGUUGGCCCCUUCUCCCCAGUAGCAGUGACAGCACAAUAGGUACCAGCCUUAAGUUGCACCAGGGGAGGUUCAGGUGGGAAAUUAGGACAAAUUUCUUCACCAAAAGAGUGGUGAGGCACUGCAAUGGGCUGCCCAGGGGUGGGGUGGAGUCACCAUCCCUGGAGGUGUUCAAGAACCAUUUAGAUGUUGUACUCAGGGACAUGGUUUAGUGGGGAAAUACGUGGUCAGUGGACAGUUGGACUAGAUGAUCUUGGAGGUCUUUUCCAACCUUGGUGAUUCUAUGAUUCACGCCAUUAAGUUAUUAAAAUACUUAAUGUUAAAUUCAAUUUUUUUCUGUACUUCUUUUAAUUAAAGCAGGCACAGAGGGCCACGCAUUAACCUAAAACCCACUCCGUGAUGCCACAUCAUAGCUAUGGCUGCGUGCUGGGAGGCUGUUCUGCUGCACCACCAUAAGCUGUUCACGUAGAUCACGUUUAAAGGCUGUUUUUGCUUGCUUUGUUUGUUUGUUUGCUUUUGUUUUUUAAUUCUGAAUAAGCCCCGUUCGGAUUAACAAGCAGAGGCUGCGUGCACACAGCAGACCCGUGGGUGCUGCAAGCCUUGCUGCGAUGCAGGCAGCAGAUGACAGCUGCAGGGCUGUGCGGCUACAGGGCUGCGGGGAUGAUGCAGGCAGAGCAGCGGGCAGCAGUGCUGGGGGCACACAGCCCUGUGACGUUGCCUUUCUGUGGGGGAAUGCCACCGGCGCAGUCAUUCCGGCAGCAUUAGGGCUGUGGUGGCUCCCAGGAUUACCCACGCACAGCCCUCCCAUCGCCGGCAGAAUCGCUGUGCCCAAACACAAUAGGAGCCUGGAAGAAAGCAACGGCCUCGACAAUGAGUUUCUCUGCUUUUAUAGGUUUUAGUGGAGCCCAUUGUGCUGUUUUAACACCCUUUUUUGUAUUUCGAUUCCUAAUAUCUUUGACUGGGGGAAGGGUGGAGAGGGCACCGAUUUAAUUCGAUAAUCCCCCUAAGCCUUGCUUAAUGCACUCACUCUAUUUUGUGCCUGUGAAUUUUAUAGUGGUAUUUGGGGUGGUUGCAGCACUGCACUGGAAUACGUCCCACCAUUUAUUUUUGCAGCCAUUGGAGGGAAAUGGCUCGCAGUGCUGAGCAGCCUAUUCACUGCGCUCACAUUGUCAAACCCAACAAACCGUCAGCCCAGAUGUGGUCGGAUCCCGGGGCUGCAGCAGGGAUGUGGGGAAAGGAGUUCAGAGUCCGCUGAAAAUUGCUCAAAUGAAUAUCUAACCAUGAGCAGAAGGCUUCCUCCCUCUGCCAAAAUUCUGAGCUGGAUUUGGGCUGUGAGGACAGCUCAUGGCUCCUUCUGAAGGGUCCCAAGACAGACAAGUCUUUGGGCUCCCAAAACUUCAUGGCUGUGCCAUGAGCAAUUUGCUCCUAGCAGGAACAUGAGGUGGUGCUGAGCCAUCCUGGGAGCAUCUCAGAAGGCUACAGCAGAGACAAAAAGUGCCAACGUAAGGGUCAGAAUGUCUGGGGCAGCUGGCAUGCAGCAGCAACAAAGCUAAGAUGAGAAGAAGGGGUUUGGAAGAGGUCAGGAUCAGAAAGACGGUGUCUGUAGGGAACCGGGUCAUCCAAAGAGGAGAAAAGAACAAAGGAAGAAAAAAUAUUAAGAGGCUGAGAUCUACCACACUGACAGGAGAUCUACACACUGACAGAGAAGACAGGAAGGUGUCCACAGACAUCUCAGAGAGAGGAGGAGACCUCAGCAGGAACACGGCAGGGCUCCUGUAGUUUAGCAAACUGCCCAAGAAUGUGCAGAAUAAGAAGCUUUUUUCACCUAUAGCCUGUGCAACUGCCUUCCUCAUUUCUUACAGCCCAGCAGUAAGGAUGUAAUGCCUCAUGAAAAUAAAUAUGGAUGGCUGGAAUUGUGUCUGUAAGGCUCCCAUUUGCCUUUCACAGCCUCAGCCCACAUCUUUCAGCCUUCCAUGCAAUUUCUCAUCAAACACCAGGACAGUACUCAGCCGCACAGAGCUCAUGGAUCUCAUAAACUCUACAGAAAAGCUUUCUUUAUUGGCAUAAAAGACACAACAGGGUAAGUAUUUGGAGGUGUUGAAAAACACUUCACCAGACAUUAAAUAAUAUUAUUUAUUCUAUCAAGAAAAGCUCUAAGGGACAUCCCAAAAAUGUGAGCCGUCUUCCAAUGGAGAUAAGAAAGAGAACACACGUACCAGCAAGCUGUUUCUAAAGCUCUGAUCAGU